UACGUAGGGUGCAGGCGUUAAUCGGAAUUACUGGGCGUAAAGCGUGCGCAGGCGGUUUCUUAAGUCAGACGUGAAAUCCCCCGGCUUAACCUGGGAACUGCGUCUGAUACUGGACGGCUUGAGUAUGGGAGAGGAACGUAGAAUUCCAGGUGUAGCGGUGAAAUGCGCAGAUAUCAGGAGGAACACCGAUGGCGAAGGCAGGUCUCUGGGCCACUACUGACGCUGAGAAGCGAAAGCAUGGGGAGCGAACAGG
rnacentral:rRNA from 1 species